GAACGCAAUGCACGGUACCAGAGGAAUCAGCAUCGGGCUAACUCCGUGCCAGCAGCCGCGGUAACGACGGAGGAUGCAAGCGUUAUCCGGGAAUGAUUGGGCGUAAAGCGUCCGCAGGCUGGCAGUUCAAGUCUGCUGUCAGAAGACCGGGGCUCAACCUCGGAAAGGCAGUCGGAAACUGAACAGCUAGAGGUAUGGUAGGGGCAAAGGGAAUUCCUGGUGUAGCCGGUGAAAUGCGUAGAGAGUCAGGAAGAACAUCGGUGGCGAAGGCGCUUUGCUGGACCAUAACUGACACUCAGGGACGAAAGCUAGGGGAGCGAAUGGGAUUAGGAUACCCCAGUAGUCCUAGCCGUAAACGAUGGA
rnacentral:rRNA from 1 species